UACGUAGGGGGCAAGCGUUGUCCGGAAUUACUGGGCGUAAAGCGCGUGUAGGCGGGACGGUUAGUCGGACGUGAAAGGCGCGGGCUCAACCCGCGAAGGCCGUUCGAAACUGCCGUUCUUGAGGGUCGAAGAGGAGAGUGGAAUUCCUGGUGUAGCGGUGAAAUGCGUAGAGAUCAGGAGGAACACCCAUGGCGAAGGCAGCUCUCUGGUCGACAUCUGACGCUGAGACGCGAAAGCGUGGGGAGCGAACGGGAUUAGAUACCCCGGUAGUCCACGCCGUAAACGAUGAUCACUAGGUGUAUGCGGUAUCGACCCCGCAUGUGCCGCAGCUAACGCAAUAAGUGAUCCGCCUGGGGAGUACGGCCGCAAGGUUGAA
rnacentral:rRNA from 1 species